GCUUGAAUGGCCGAGUGGUUAAGGCGGUGGUCUUAAGCACCACUCCCGUGAGGGAUCGUCAGUUCGAAUCUGGCUUCAAGCA
rfam:Nectria haematococca mpVI 77-13-4 chromosome 7 genomic scaffold NECHAsca_22_chr7_11_0, whole genome shotgun sequence.